GGCGCCAGUAGGUACAAACUCUUCAGUCAUCCGUUUUUUUUACCGCUUGUCCCUUGCGGUGGUGUUGGAGCCUAUCCCAGCUGCACUCGAGCAAAAGUCAACUGUGUAUAUUAUUUUAACAAGACGUAAAAUGGGGAAGAGAGGGUAUCCGGUGUAGAGCUCAGCCAGGAUGCAGCCCAGACUCCACAUGUCAAUGGCCAUGCUGUAGGGGUGACCCAGGAUGACCUCGGGGGAGCGGUAGAAGCGGCUCUGGAUGUAGGUGUACACUACAGGCCAUACACAAGCGCAUCUGCAGGCACCUGAGGAGAGCGUGGGUGAAGCGACGGAUGAGAGCCACACUGAAGCCCUGGAAGUUGUUUUUCUUGAUGAGCUCGUAUAAGUUGACCCUGACGAGAGAAAUGACAAAGUUUUUCUUCUUCACACCCUUAUAGCCACUUCACAUUGGAAUACAGCUUAAUGGAGUUCCCUCUGCUUGGAAAUAAUACGUGACCAGUUGUGAUGAGCUUGUAACUGGAGCCUUCGCACCGUGAAGCAAGAAGGGGCAUUUGAGCACCUGCCCGAAGGAGCCCUUUCCAAUCACCUCCAGCACUUCAAAUCUGUAGGCAAUGUGGUCGUGCAGCACCUGGAACAAAGCGAAGAAAAGAGCCGUGCAAGUUUCUGCUGACCUGGACAAUAAUAUUGAACGGGUAAAAGACCUAAAGUCAACAAUGGAGGAUCAUCCCAACAGGUGUGCAAUUACAAGGGCAGCUUUGACUAAUUGGGAUCCUCUCUGCACGGUCACUUGGUCACAAGGUUAACACACGGAGCAAAAGGUAAGUGUGUACAGCAAAUCAAAAAUAGAAAUGGACUUUUGCAUUGCAUCAUUAUAAAAUUGCCAUCUAUGCAUUGCAAGCGUUUACAUGACUGUUUGUGUGGAAGAAACAUGUUUAGAUCAGCAGGAAUACUCUGGGGAAACUUGUCUUUUAUCCAAAUAUAGACUCACUGGUCACAACAUUAGGUACACAUGCAGCCCUCCUGCCCUUCAUAUGACAUUUCUUCGCAAAUGUUUUCCGAGCCCCUUCCUGCUCUGAUAUUGAUGAGACUAUAAUGGUACAUUUUCCCAUAUGUUGCCUUUGUUCCCGGUGCGGGCUAGAGAAAAUCCGAUCAAAUCCGAGGCAGCAAUAUGAAGAUAUGCCAAUAUAUGUUUA